rnacentral:rRNA from 1 species
UACGUAGGAUGCAAGCGUUGUCCGGAAUUAUUGGGCGUAAAGAGCGCGCAGGCGGUAUGACAAGUCAGAUGUGAAAGAGGCCGGCUUAACCGGCAAGGGUCAUUUGAAACUGUCAGACUAGAGUGCAGCAGAGGAUAGUGGAAUUCCCGGUGUAGUGGUGAAAUGCGUAGAUAGUCGGGAGGAACACCGGUGGCGAAGGCGGGUCUCUGGGCCGUAACUGACGCUGAGGAGCGAAAGCGUGGGGAGCGAACAGG